UACAGAGGCCUCGAGCGUUAAUCGGAGUUACUGGGCUUAAAGGGUGCGUAGGCGGUUCCGUAAGUGCCUUGUGAAAUCCCAUGGCUUAACCAUGGAAUUGCUCGGUAGACUGCGGAACUUGAGGUCGGUAGAGGUCGCUGGAACUCUAGGUGGAGCGGUGAAAUGCGUAGAUAUCUAGAGGAACGCCAAAGGUGAAGACAGGCGACUGGGCCGAUUCUGACGCUGAGGCACGAAAGCGUGGGUAGCGAACGGG
rnacentral:rRNA from 1 species